GAUGAACGCUGGCGGCGUGCCUAAUACAUGCAAGUCGAGCGAACAGACGAGGAGCUUGCUCCUCUGACGUUAGCGGCGGACGGGUGAGUAACACGUGGAUAACCUACCUAUAGGACUGGGAUAACUUCGGGAAACCGGAGCUAAUACCGGAUAAUAUAUUGAACCGCAUGGUUCAAUAGUGAAAGACGGUUUUGCUGUCACUUAUAGAUGGAUCCGCGCCGCAUUAGCUAGUUGGUAAGGUAACGGCUUACCAAGGCAACGAUGCGUAGCCGACCUGAGAGGGUGAUCGGCCACACUGGAACUGAGACACGGUCCAGACUCCUACGGGAGGCAGCAGUAGGGAAUCUUCCGCAAUGGGCGAAAGCCUGACGGAGCCACGCCGCGUGUGUGAAGAAGGUCUUCGGAUUGUAAAACUCUUUUAGUAGGGAAGAAGAAAAGUGUAAGUAACUAUGCACGUCUUGACGGUACCUAAUCAGAAAGCCACGGCUAACUACGUG
rnacentral:rRNA from 1 species